GUCGCAUUUUAUGAAAAAGUUACUUCGCUCUGAAUCUAGCAGGAUACCUGUGUAGGAGGUGUUGGGAAGCUUGAAAAUGUUUCCAUAGAUACAAAACAGAGCCCUAGCAGCAGCUUUCAGCCAGGCCAUGUAAGCGUUGAGAUAUUUUUCUGAAUUAGCAAUGGGCUGUCGGAUUCUAUCCAAAUAUAUAUAUAUUUUCACUUUUCAAAGUCUUUUUUUCCCCAGCGUAUCUCCAUUGGUGCAAACUGGCACAGCUCCAUUGGUAUCAGUGGAACUGCAUGAGCUUAUGAACUUUCAUAAGUGCUUCUAGAUAAUGUUUUAAGGUAAGAGAAUGCAUCUACGUCAGUUCAUAUCUAACCAGUCUGACAAGCUUUAUUUAGUUAUCUGCAAUGCAUUUAUUAUAUAAAUGCUUUGGCAUUAUGGAUUGCUCAGCUUAGUAGAAUUCACAUUUAGUAAGAAGUUACUUGCAGCGAAGAAAAUGAGAAUAAACAUGAAGUUAGGAUACCUGAUUUUUAUGGAAGAACUCUACUUCUUCUGUAUUUUUUCCAUGUUAUGCUCUUACUGCCAACAGUCUCUCCAAGCUCCCUUUCCUUUCCUGUUUUGUUUCCAUGUUUACUACUCUUCCACUGCCUGUUCCUUUCAGAUACUCUUGCUAUCCUUUCAUCAUCCUCCUGUAAUUUAUAAAUAGACUGCAGACAAUUCACUUUACCUCUAGUAUAUCCCUGUGAAGACCACCGGGACCUCCCUGAAAUGAAAUACUAAACCUUGAUAUUAAGUUCAUAAUUGUUAUUGUUAUCGAAUACCUCCGCUCUUCAGAGAGAGACCAAAAAAAAAAAAAAAAAAAAAAAGUACAGGCUUAUUUUCUAAGCUCUUCUCCCAGCAUUCAUUGAACUCGAAACAAAAUGGAUGAAUGACAUGAGGAAAGUUUAUUUUUUUACUCUUGCACCUGCAUGGUUCAGGUGCCCCGUGUUUGUCACAGCCCCAAGGACGCCACCGGCCCGGCCCAGGCCCAGGCCCUGCAGCAGCCCUGGGGCCACCAGCCUUUGCCCCACUGGGGCUUGGCAGGGCCUGGCAGGGCUGUGGGGAGCUGGAGCCCGGCCCUGGCCCCACGGAGGUGCCGGGGCUGCCCGGUGCCCCGCUGCUGGUGGGGCGCUGGGCCGGGCCAUGCCUGCCCCCCCCAACCCCCGGGCCGCCCCAGGCUUUAGGCCCCAGCUGCGCCACAGGGAGGCUGUUUGUUCAUGGCAGCCAAGGAAAGCGGUACUGUUUGUGUUCUGCAGGGAGAGAAAUUCCCCCAAGACAUUUUACUGA
ensembl:lncRNA